rnacentral:rRNA from 1 species
GACGAACGCUGGCGGCGUGCUUAACACAUGCAAGUCGAACGGAAACGCCCUGCUCUUGUGCUGUGCUCGAGUGGCGAACGCGUGAGUAACACGCGUGUAACACGCCCUUGACUUUGGGAUAACUUCAGGAAACUGGGGUUAAUACCGGAUAGGAGUUCCCGCUGCAUGGGGGGGGUUGGAAAGUUUCGGCGGUUGGGGAUGGACUCGCGGCUUAUCAGCUUGUUGGUGGGGUAGUGGCUUACCAAGGCUUUGACGGGUAGCCGGCCUGAGCAGGUGACCGGCCACAUUGGGACUGAGAUACGGCGCAGACUCCUACGGGAGGCAGCAGUGGGGAAUAUUGCACAGUGGGCGGAAGCCUGAUGCAGCAACGCCGCGUGCGGGAUGACGGCCUUCGGGUUGUGAACCGCUUUCGCCUGUGACGAAGCGUGAGUGACGGUAAUGGGUAAAGAAGCACCGGCUAACUACGUG